UAAUGUUAGUACCAGACCCUCUUGGUUAGAGACAUCUAUAAUGUUAGUACCAGACCCUCUUUCUUAGAGACAUCUAUAAUGUUAGUACCAGACCCUCUUGAUUAGAUACAUCCAUAAUGUUAGUACCAGACCCUCUUGGUUAGAUACAUCCAUAAUGUUAGUACCAGACCCUCUUGAUUAGAUACAUUCAUAAUGUUAGUACCAGACCCUCUUUCUUAGAGACAUCUAUAAUGUUAGUACCAGACCCUCUUGAUUAGAUACAUCCAUAAUGUUAGUACCAGACCCUCUUGAUUAGAUACAUUCAUAAUGUUAGUACCAGACCCUCUUUCUUAGAGACAUCUAUAAUGUUAGUACCAGACCCUCUUGAUUAGAUACAUCCAUAAUGUUAGUACCAGACCCUCUUGGUUAGAUACAUCCAUAAUGUUAGUACCAGACCCUCUUGAUUAGAUACAUUCAUAAUGUUAGUACCAGACCCUCUUGAUUAGAUACAUCCAUAAUGUUAGUACCAAACCCUCUUGAUUAGAUACAUCCAUAAUGUUAGUACCAAACCCUCUUGAUUAGAUACAUCCAUAAUGUUAGUACCAAACCCUCUUGAUUAGAUACAUCCAUAAUGUUAGUACCAGACCCUCUUGAUUAGAUACAUCCAUAAUGUUAGUACCAGACCCUCUUGAUUAGAUACAUCCAUAAUGUUAGUACCAAACCCUCUUGGUUAGAUACAUUCAUAAUGUUAGUACCAGACCCUCUUGAUUAGAUACAUUCAUAAUGUUAGUACCAGACCCUCUUGAUUAGAUACAUCCAUAAUGUUAGUACCAGACCCUCUUGGUUAGAGACAUCCAUAAUGUUAGUACCAGACCCUCUUGGUUAGAUACAUCCAUAAUGUUAGUACCAGACCCUCUUGAUUAGAUACAUCCAUAAUGUUAGUACCAGACCCUCUUGAUUAGAUACAUCCAUAAUGUUAGUACCAGACCCUCUUGGUUAGAGACAUCCAUAAUGUUAGUACCAGACCCUCUUGAUUAGAUACAUCCAUAAUGUUAGUACCAGACCCUCUUGGUUAGAGACAUCCAUAAUGUUAGUACCAGACCCUCUUGAUUAGAUACAUUCAUAAUGUUAGUACCAGACCCUCUUGGUUAGAGACAUCCAUAAUGUUAGUACCAGACCCUCUUGGUUAGAUACAUCCAUAAUGUUAGUACCAGACCCUCUUGAUUAGAUACAUCCAUAAUGUUAGUACCAGACCCUCUUGGUUAGAUACAUCCAUAAUGUUAGUACCAGACCCUCUUGAUUAGAUAUAUCCAUAAUGUUAGUACCAGAACCUCUUGGUUAGAGACAUCCAUAAUGUUAGUACCAGACCCUCUUUCUUAGAGACAUCUAUAAUGUUAGUACCAGACCCUCUUGAUUAGAUACAUCCAUAAUGUUAGUACCAGACCCUCUUGGUUAGAUACAUCCAUAAUGUUAGUACCAGACCCUCUUGAUUAGAUACAUUCAUAAUGUUAGUACCAGACCCUCUUGAUUAGAUACAUCCAUAAUGUUAGUACCAAACCCUCUUGAUUAGAUACAUCCAUAAUGUUAGUACCAAACCCUCUUGAUUAGAUAUAUCCAUAAUGUUAGUACCAGAACCUCUUGGUUAGAGACAUCCAUAAUGUUAGUACCAGACCCUCUUUCUUAGAGACAUCUAUAAUGUUAGUACCAGACCCUCUUGAUUAGAUACAUCCAUAAUGUUAGUACCAGACCCUCUUGGUUAGAUACAUCCAUAAUGUUAGUACCAGACCCUCUUGAUUAGAUACAUUCAUAAUGUUAGUACCAGACCCUCUUGAUUAGAUACAUCCAUAAUGUUAGUACCAAACCCUCUUGAUUAGAUACAUCCAUAAUGUUAGUACCAAACCCUCUUGAUUAGAUACAUCCAUAAUGUUAGUACCAAACCCUCUUGAUUAGAUACAUCCAUAAUGUUAGUACCAGACCCUCUUGAUUAGAUACAUCCAUAAUGUUAGUACCAGACCCUCUUGAUUAGAUACAUCCAUAAUGUUAGUACCAAACCCUCUUGGUUAGAUACAUUCAUAAUGUUAGUACCAGACCCUCUUGAUUAGAUACAUUCAUAAUGUUAGUACCAGACCCUCUUGAUUAGAUACAUCCAUAAUGUUAGUACCAGACCCUCUUGGUUAGAGACAUCCAUAAUGUUAGUACCAGACCCUCUUGGUUAGAUACAUCCAUAAUGUUAGUACCAGACCCUCUUGAUUAGAUACAUCCAUAAUGUUAGUACCAGACCCUCUUGAUUAGAUACAUCCAUAAUGUUAGUACCAGACCCUCUUGGUUAGAGACAUCCAUAAUGUUAGUACCAGACCCUCUUGAUUAGAUACAUCCAUAAUGUUAGUACCAGACCCUCUUGGUUAGAGACAUCCAUAAUGUUAGUACCAGACCCUCUUGAUUAGAUACAUUCAUAAUGUUAGUACCAGACCCUCUUGAUUAGAUACAUCCAUAAUGUUAGUACCAAACCCUCUUGGUUAGAUACAUUCAUAAUGUUAGUACCAGACCCUCUUGAUUAGAUACAUUCAUAAUGUUAGUACCAGACCCUCUUGAUUAGAUACAUCCAUAAUGUUAGUACCAGACCCUCUUGGUUAGAGACAUCCAUAAUGUUAGUACCAGACCCUCUUGGUUAGAUACAUCCAUAAUGUUAGUACCAGACCCUCUUGAUUAGAUACAUCCAUAAUGUUAGUACCAGACCCUCUUGAUUAGAUACAUCCAUAAUGUUAGUACCAGACCCUCUUGGUUAGAGACAUCCAUAAUGUUAGUACCAGACCCUCUUGAUUAGAUACAUCCAUAAUGUUAGUACCAGACCCUCUUGGUUAGAGACAUCCAUAAUGUUAGUACCAGACCCUCUUGAUUAGAUACAUUCAUAAUGUUAGUACCAGACCCUCUUGGUUAGAGACAUCCAUAAUGUUAGUACCAGACCCUCUUGGUUAGAUACAUCCAUAAUGUUAGUACCAGACCCUCUUGAUUAGAUACAUCCAUAAUGUUAGUACCAGACCCUCUUGGUUAGAUACAUCCAUAAUGUUAGUACCAGACCCUCUUGAUUAGAUAUAUCCAUAAUGUUAGUACCAGAACCUCUUGGUUAGAGACAUCCAUAAUGUUAGUACCAGACCCUCUUUCUUAGAGACAUCUAUAAUGUUAGUACCAGACCCUCUUGAUUAGAUACAUCCAUAAUGUUAGUACCAGACCCUCUUGGUUAGAUACAUCCAUAAUGUUAGUACCAGACCCUCUUGAUUAGAUACAUUCAUAAUGUUAGUACCAGACCCUCUUGAUUAGAUACAUCCAUAAUGUUAGUACCAAACCCUCUUGAUUAGAUACAUCCAUAAUGUUAGUACCAAACCCUCUUGAUUAGAUAUAUCCAUAAUGUUAGUACCAGAACCUCUUGGUUAGAGACAUCCAUAAUGUUAGUACCAGACCCUCUUUCUUAGAGACAUCUAUAAUGUUAGUACCAGACCCUCUUGAUUAGAUACAUCCAUAAUGUUAGUACCAGACCCUCUUGGUUAGAUACAUCCAUAAUGUUAGUACCAGACCCUCUUGAUUAGAUACAUUCAUAAUGUUAGUACCAGACCCUCUUGAUUAGAUACAUCCAUAAUGUUAGUACCAAACCCUCUUGAUUAGAUACAUCCAUAAUGUUAGUACCAAACCCUCUUGAUUAGAUACAUCCAUAAUGUUAGUACCAAACCCUCUUGAUUAGAUACAUCCAUAAUGUUAGUACCAGACCCUCUUGAUUAGAUACAUCCAUAAUGUUAGUACCAGACCCUCUUGAUUAGAUACAUCCAUAAUGUUAGUACCAAACCCUCUUGGUUAGAUACAUUCAUAAUGUUAGUACCAGACCCUCUUGAUUAGAUACAUUCAUAAUGUUAGUACCAGACCCUCUUGAUUAGAUACAUCCAUAAUGUUAGUACCAGACCCUCUUGGUUAGAGACAUCCAUAAUGUUAGUACCAGACCCUCUUGGUUAGAUACAUCCAUAAUGUUAGUACCAGACCCUCUUGAUUAGAUACAUCCAUAAUGUUAGUACCAGACCCUCUUGAUUAGAUACAUCCAUAAUGUUAGUACCAGACCCUCUUGGUUAGAGACAUCCAUAAUGUUAGUACCAGACCCUCUUGAUUAGAUACAUCCAUAAUGUUAGUACCAGACCCUCUUGGUUAGAGACAUCCAUAAUGUUAGUACCAGACCCUCUUGAUUAGAUACAUUCAUAAUGUUAGUACCAGACCCUCUUGGUUAGAGACAUCCAUAAUGUUAGUACCAGACCCUCUUGGUUAGAUACAUCCAUAAUGUUAGUACCAGACCCUCUUGAUUAGAUACAUCCAUAAUGUUAGUACCAGACCCUCUUGGUUAGAUACAUCCAUAAUGUUAGUACCAGACCCUCUUGAUUAGAUAUAUCCAUACUGUUAGUACCAGAACCUCUUGGUUAGAGACAUCCAUAAUGUUAGUACCAGAACCUGUUGGUUAGAGACAUCCAUAAUGUUAGUACCAGACCCUGUUGGUUAGAGACAUCCAUAAUGUUAGUACCAGAACCUGUUGGUUAGAGACAUCCAUAAUGUUAGUACCAGACCCUGUUGGUUAGAGACAUCCAUAAUGUUAGUACCAGACCCUCUUGGUUAGAGACAUCCAUAGUGUUAGUACCAGACCCUCUUGGUUAGAGACAUCCAUAGUGUUAGUACUAGACCCUCUUUCCUUUCUUCGAGACAUCCAUACAGGGCUCUACAGUGCGAGUAUUUCACUCGCAUUUGCCCCUAAAAAUUGAUAUGUGUGAACCGGAAAAAUUAUUUACGAGCAGUGUGCGCGAUUAAGUGUGCGCGAUUAAAGAUGACUGACAACCUACUGUAAUCUAUUUUUCCCCCGCUGCUAAUUGUUUAAAAACUACAAGUCCCACAUUCCACAAGUGGCAUGCGCCAACCACAGUAGAGUUUUCUGUGAUGACGCAGUCCAGUCAGAGACAGAAAGGUGAACAACAUUGGAAAAUAGUAUCGGUAUAGGCUAUAAGUUAACGUGCAGACAUCGCUAAGAAUGAAGCCCAUUCAAUUUUAUUUUAAGUGAAAAAGAGACGAGGAGAAAGAGGAAUCCGGCGAGGGGGAUUCGCAAGGUUCAACUAAUGAAGCCUCUUCACAAGGUUUACCUGAGGCGGCUAACGUUGACAUGGCUGCUCACGUUCAGGAUGCUGGGAACAACGUUAGUGACGCUACCUUGAACCCAGCUGUCACUUCUACGUCCACUGUAGCCGGUGGAGGGAGAACAUAUACAUUGGCUCAAAAUGCUCACAUGGCUAGAGUUCGAAAACAACGUCAUGUUCUGCAAAUAUUGUAGGUUGCUGAAACAGGCCUUCGUCCUUCGUGUCAGGAAGCCCGCAUCUGAGUUGACAUUAAUCCCACAUACGACAAUGAUGUGAUGUGCGGAGAUGAUCGGUUAAAUUGCUGACAUAAUGAGAGAGAGCCUGUCAGCGAAGCUGAAAUCCGCAAAGUAUCUUGCUGUUCUAAUAGACGGAGACACUGAUAUAUCCAACACCGAAUGUGAGAUUGUCUACGUACGCUUGUUGGAGGAUGGGAAGCCAGUCAAUCUCCUGGUCGGACAACAAACCCUUGAGCACUCUCAUGCCAUUGGUAAGUUGUUCCUCUUUAUAGGCUUUAUUCUUGUGUAAAGUUUAAUCAUUAUUCAUAAUGAAGAUAAUUUAGUUUGUCAGAAAUACUUUUGUGUAAUUGUUUUUUUGUGUUGUCAUUCAAGGUGUUUUGGAUGCCACCAAGGCCACAUUUGGUGCUGUUUGCCCAGAGGAGGAUGGAGGGUCAUGGAUGAAGAAAUACAUCUCCUUCGGGGCAGAUGGUGCCUCCGUGAACAUGGACCACCAUGGGGGAGAGAUUGCCCACCUGCAGAGAGAGGCAGGGGGGCAUAUCAUCCCAAUCCACUGUAUGCCUCAUAGGUUUGUAACAAAUAAAUUAUCUAUGAUUUAGUUUUAUUUGUUAGCAGAGAAUGUUAAACAAUAAUGUGUGUGUGUGUGUGUCUGUGUGCGUGCGCUAAGUGCUGGAAUACCACAGAAUUAUUGUUUUCUGCUGGCACAAGAGACAGGGGGGAAGGAGACAGUGAAUUGUUUGGAAGAUUCUGUUCUGACUUUCACAGACUAGAGCUGGCACUACUGACCAUUCAGAAGAAAGAGUCAAAGCUGUCUGGUCGUGUACGAUCUUAUGAAUCUGAUAUGGAAGAUGUAUCACUUCAGCGGAAAAUCCAAACGAGAGCUCUUUGUUCUCGGGCAAGAGCUCGGUGUGGAUAUUUGCACACCGUCUAGCGUCAAGGGAACUCGCUGGAUCCCCCAUGUCCACAGAGCGCUCAGUGUUCCUACAGCAUGGACAAGACAAGGACCUUGCCACUGACGAAGGCCAGUACUCCGUUGUUCUGCAGCACAUGGAACACCUGGCCGUAGCAUCAACAACAGAAGUUCAAGGGAGGGUAAAGAAGGUCACUUUUACACAGGAAAUGUAAUACCAUACUAGUUUUUUAAAAAUAGGUUCAAGACUCAAAUGAACUUUCAGAAUCAAGUAAUUGACAGGUGACAGUUUAUUUACUCACUACUUAACUAAUAAAGUGGGAAAUGGUGAAUGCACUCUUUUGUGUAUUCUGCCAUUUUGUUUCAGACAUGUUUGAGCAGCUAUCUUCACUUAGCCUCACCCUGCCAAGGAAUGACCUGAUCCUCCCCCAAGCCACAUCAGAGUUGAGGAAGACAGUGACCAGACUGGAAGCACUAAAUCUUCAGACCAUGCUUGCUCAGCAGCAGGGUGAUGAGAGGAGAUUCCAGGCUUCAUGGACCUCACCAGUCCCCAGCUGAAGCGGCACAUGAAGGCGGCCAUCAACAUGGGCAUGGAUGAUCUCAAAGCCAGGUUUGGUGGUUUGCUGAAGGAUGAGGGUGUCCAGAUCCCAGUGGAGUCUUUCAAAGUGCUAAACCCUGACACCUGGCCAGAAGACCAGGCCAGCCUUCUCACCUUUGGCAAUGAUGGUGUGGCAGACCUGAUGAGGCAUUUCAAGGAGCCUCUAGAGAGAUCGGGGUGCAACAUGGCUGCAAUCCAGGAUGAGUGGCAGGGGCUGAAAAUCCUGGUCAGCCACAAAUUCAAGGACAAGUCCUACAGUGGCCUGUGGGAGACCAUGUUGACAAAGGACCCCUACAGGCACAUAAGUUAAUGCCGCCCAGUGUGAGCGAGGCUUCUCUGCGCAGAACCAGAUUAAGAAUUCGACAAGAAGCUGCCUUGGGGUCUCCACCACCGAAGAUGAGGAUCAGCCUGGAGGGGUCUUCUGUUGAGGAGUUCUAUCCCACUCCUGCCGUGGACCGCUGGCUGACCUCUAAGCGUGCCAGACGGCCAACAUACAAAAUCAGCUGGAUAACUGAUAUCCUUUGUGUCUAGUAGGCAAUAUGUGAUUUUGGUGGUAUGUGCUGUUCCAAAGAUGUGUGUCCCUUAGUACACGCACACACGCAGUAUAAAUAUGUAUGUAAUACAUAGUUUGUUAAUAAACUCUGUUACAUUUUUCA